UUAUUGUAUAAAAGAAGAUAAUUUACAACUUGUAAGCUAAGUAGAUGGCUAGAGACAAACACCAUAUCAAACAUCUGUAGACUCUACCUCUCUUCGCCUGCGAAUGUAAGCUAUACCAUCCCAUAUUUUUGACGACUUGAACCAUGUAGAGAUGUCAAACAUCAUCAGCUAAGUAGAUGGCUAGAGACAAACACCAUAUCCUUAACAUCACUAAUUUUGCUGAAGAGAGAGUGAGGCUAAUUUCUGCUAAUCCAUAAAAUACAGGAGUCUGACCAGCAUAUCUGUCUAAUGGCGAGUCUGACCAGCAUAUCUGUCUAAUGGCCAUCUCUCUUUGAUUCAACUGAUUCAUCAGAAAACUCCUAGACAUUUUAUCAUAGAAACAUUAAUUGUACCUUGCAUUUUGUUGACAACAAGAGUCUCCAGCACUUGGCUUGAAAUUUUUUCAGCAAUAAUGAGUAGAGGAACACUCAGUUGGGUGGUCUUUUCCAACAAAGGCACAAUAUCUUUCACAGUUGAUAUCUUUUGAGCAGUCACAAGAACUCUAGCAUUUUCAAACUUCGCCAGAGAUUUAUGCUUAUUCAUAAUGAAAUGAGGUGACAUGUACUCUUUGUCAAUCUGUAAGGAAAGAACACUUGUAGAGGAAUAAGGAAAUAAUAUAACAUGAGGGAAAAAAAACAUAUUUAUAUGUAAAAAAGAAGGAUAUCACCACUAGUUUCAUAAGAAAGGUUCAUAGUCAAUCUCAGUUUCAGUCUGUGGCCAUUACGUGUUGGGGAACUAUAAGAAUCCCAUAUGCCCCUAUGAACCAGAUCAAAAACAUUAGAUGAUAGAUGAUUAUGUGAAACAAAUGACAAUCUUCUUUGUUUGGCAAGUGGAGAUACAAAACAUGGAACAUCAUCCAUUCUUUUAUCAGUCUUAAAAUGUAAUUGACCUUUCAGGUGCUCCAAUCUUUUAAAGGACAAAUGCCCAAAUCUACUAUGCCAAAUGCGAGAAUUAUUCACUACAUUGUAAGUAGAAUUACAGAUAGAUUCUCGAACAUUACAACCCUUCAAUGCACCAAGUGCUGUGUUAAUGAUAUCAAGACCAUCAACUCUCUUACCCCUCCCAAUCAUCUUCGAGCUGUUUAAGUCCUGAAAUCAUAGUAUUUAGCAAAAAAUCUUAUGCUUACAGAAGAAUUUCUGGUCAAAGCACUAAUGGAUAAGAGAUUAAACUUGAACUCUAGUACAAAUAGCACAUCUUCAAGUAUUAAGUCAUUAGUGAGUUUAACUCUUCCAGCAAAAUGUACAGAAAUUCUAGUAUGAUUAGGAAGUGUAAUAUAGGCAUUAUGCACUUUCCUCAAAGUCUGAAAACAUCCCGAAUCCAACACCCCAUGUUUAGGAGAACUCAACAUCGAAUUAACAUAGAUUGAUAGGCAUGUACCUGACACAUGGCCUGAAUUAGUUCCUUCAUCUUCUAUCUUAGCAGUAGUGAGAUGUGUGCUAAGCAUACUCAUUAAAUGCUGGUAUUGCUUCUGAUUCAAUGUUUGCAAAAAAUCUCCAACAUUGCCUUGAGUUUGAUCUGCAAUAGAACCAGAAAUUUGAUUAGCAACAACAUUAUUUUGAUGAGAACUAUAACCUAUUUGACAGCAAUUUAAUGAAGUUGGCCAUUGUUAGUACCAAGAAUGACUUCCCUUGUGGAAGCUGCAAAACAAUAGUAAAUACACUUAUUUUGCUCAAAUUUUGACAUAUGAAUGCGAAUCAUGCACGGAGACAUUAAGCAACACUCAAGUUCACCUUCUGUUAUAUGUUGCCUAUUCUAGGCAACAACAUUCACUACAAGGCCUUUCAGUUUGCUCAAUACACGAGGCUUGGUCCACUUUGCAUGCGUGUAAAACGUGUCAGAAGUUCCAUUGCCGACUACUACAGCAAUGUAAUGGCUACCUCCUUGGUCCACAAAAACUCUAUGGAUGGACCGUUCCCCAGGUCGACUAGCAGAGAGAUCGAUAUCUAUGCAAAAAUUACCCCGUAAAUAGGCAAAACAUAAAAUUCGGUGAUGAAAGUUAAAAUUCUAUUCAUAAUGGUUCAAUUGGACAAAAAAUGAACACAGAAUUCAAAAUCAGUUCAGUGGUAGCAUUAAAAGGUCAGCUAAUGAAACUAUUGGCCAAUUAAUAUCGGUAUAUCACCCAAGCCCAAUUUGUUAACUGUUUGGUCAAUAAAUUCGCUGCCCUAUUUAGCAACAAAAAAAUUUAGAAAUAAAUUGACUAGUACCUGUUCAAUAAGCAAACAUAAAAAGCGAUAAAAUACUCAAUUUCUUUAGCAAUUGGAAAUCUCCUAACAAAAUUUUGGACACACGAAGAAAGUGGAGCUUGAGCACACAUCCUCAUCUAUCUCUACCGACCCUCUGCCCUUGGCAUCUUUAGAAAUCAUACCAUCCCAUGAAUUUGAUUUGUGCACUAGAAAUUCAGAAAGAUUUUUAUUGCCAUUUUGUGGCCUAAGGAUUCUUCUAAAUGACUUUAAUUAACAAGAACACAAAUCAAACUGAUUUUUACUUCUAAUGAAACUUUAUUGCCCCGUUUUCAAUUAACUUAAACAUAAUGAAGACCGUGAGAGAUAUUAGCCUCAAAUUUCUUCCCUAUAUCACUGACGAUUCAUAAGUUUGAGUUGGGUGUUCAAGCGUAAAAUCCCUUUUCGCGUAAAAAUUAAAACAAACCAUGAAAAUGGAACCCAAGUCUCGAUAUCCGAUUAAAUGCGGUUUCCCAACUGCGCGCCCGCAAAGAGAAACACAAUAAACUAAGGCACAACAAGACAUUAACGAAUUUAAGUUCACUAACAGAUGUGUAUAAAGAAGACAAAAAACAAAGGAAAACCCAUCAAGAAAUUUAAAUUAAUCUAGAACACGUGUUCAUACGAACGCACUUACUUGGUCAAAACCAUUUGGUUCAGUACCAUAGUCAGCAGUGAGAAGGAAAUAAGAAGUAGUUACAGCAGCCACCAUUGUUGUCCACCUGCGACUCAAGACUGGCUGCUCCCAACGACAACUAUAAAUUCCGACGGUGUGAGGU
rnacentral:lncRNA from 1 species